GGGAAGCAGACAAACCAAGAAUGCUAAUGCCCAUCUGACAUCAGAGACGGCAGUGCUCCCCAGACCUCUCACAGCAAGCUGGAUGGACAGGCAGGGCCAGAAGAGUCCUCCAGCCAAGCCUCCUCCUUGGUUCUUGUACCCAAAGGUAGAGAAACUGCAGGUCUUCUUGGGUCUGAGCCUGGGGCAGGGGUUCUGGCUGGACGAAAAGGGGCAGGGAAGCAGCAGGAGCCAGAGACCACAGGCUGAGCUGGAGCCCACAUGGUUCCUAAGGGCAGAACAGGCUCUGAGGAAAGAUGUGAACAGCUGGAAGGCUGACAGUGAGGUCUCAGCAGUGUGGUGCACCCCUCCCCAGCACAUCCGAGUCCCUGGGGUCCCAGGUACCAUAGGUACUGCAAGAUUUCCCAAGAGACAGCACCAGCAACCUGGGCCUGACCCUGUACAACCGCCAAACCAUCACGAGCCCCGCCCAGGCUUGUGAGAAGGACAUGCAUGGAUCAAGACCUUGCCCUUGACCCAUCUGCUUCUCAGAUGGGCUCCCAAUCACCAGAGGAAGUUGCUGUAAGCCCACUUUCCAGACUGCCCCCACACUGGGGCUCUAAGUUUCAGGUCGGAGAUUUUAUGCUCUGUGAUCCCCCACUUGGGGUUCCCAGACUCCAAGCUCCUGGCUCCUGUGUUCAGUGGCUGAAUUCAACGUCCGAGAUUCGGAAUAUGGGCUCCAGCCUGCAGAAACUCUUCUCCAGGCAUUGUGGUUUGUGCCUCCUAGUGUUGGCUCCCUCAUGAAAAGAGGGUCAACACCCUUGGCCCCCAGCCAAGAUCUCUGCUCAAUGUCCAUACAAGGAGGAAGCCAAAACCAAGUGAGGUGCUGGAGCCACAUUCAAAUGUGGUUGAUAAUCUUGGGGCAGGCCAGCUCUGAUGUGGAUGAAAGCUGAUCCAACUGUCGCCACAGCUGCCCAGCUGGGUCCGCUGCUCCCCUGGCUGGCUGUUCAGCUGUCUACUAAGCCCAAAAAAAAUACUAUGCCUCACUAGCAGAGGCUAGACCCAGAAAGAGGGAACAAUGAGGACCCCUCCCCUCCCAGAGGAAAGAGCUGAGCCACUCUCCCCAUCCAGGGAACAGUAGGUCCAGGCUGGAUGCUGGUAUGAUGGGAACUGCCCUUUUCACCUGCCAGGGAGUUCCUAAAGCUGAUCUUCCUGGGGUUCUGAAGGUUGCGACCUAGGUUAAUGAGACCAAAUUCUAGGAACCACUGCCCAGGCCAACCACCGCCAGUGCUGCAGAGAUCAAAGAAAUCCACAGCCACAGGAAAAGGAGCUUCUUUGGACAUGCCCAGCUCCAAACUGUCCCAGGGGGAACUGGCACAGCCCUUACAUAGCCCACCCCCUCUUGGCCUCACCGUGGCCUGGAAAUUGGCCAGAGGGUCCACAUCCUGCCCAAACCACUCUCCUCUCGUCCCAAGGCAAAGGUGAUGCCCUGAGGCCUAGGGCUGGAUAAAGCCCAGCUCUGGAUGCUGCUAACCCACUCUGCUGCCCCACCCCAUCCUCCAAUUUUUAUACUAGGCUCUUUGCCAUUGUGACGUCCCAUGACAUAGUCUGAUGCACGAUAAAACAAUUAUUUCUUUAUCUUGCAA
rnacentral:lncRNA from 1 species